CAGCCGCCACGGUAAUACGUAGGGUGCAAGCGUUAAUCGGAAUUACUGGGCGCAAAGCGUGCGCAGGCGGUUCGUUAAGACAGAUGUGAAAUUCCCGGGCUUAACCUGGGAACUGCAUUUGUGACUGGCGGGCUAGAGUAUGGCAGAGGGGGGUAGAAUUCCACGUGUAGCAGUGAAAUGCGUAGAGAUGUGGAGGAGUACCGAUGGCGAAGGCAGCCCCCUGGGCCAAUACUGACGCCCAUGCACGAAAGCGUGGGGAGCAAGCAGGAUUAGAUACCCCGGUAGUCCCUGUCUCUUAUAC
rnacentral:rRNA from 1 species